rnacentral:rRNA from 1 species
AACGAACGCUGGCGGCGUGGCUAAGGCAUGCAAGUCGAACGGGGUGUGUGGAAGGUAACGGAAGCACACUUAGUGGCGGACGGGUGAGUAAUGCAUGGGUAAUGUGCCCCGAGCUCAGGGAUAGCUUACCGAAAGGGAAGGUAAUACCUGAUGACACCUCUGAAUCGCAUGGUUCGGAGAUCAAAGCUCAGGCGGCUUGGGAUCAGCCCAUGUCCUAUCAGCUUGUUGGUGGGGUAACGGCCUACCAAGGCGGCGACGGGUAGCGGGCGUGAGAGCGUGGCCCGCCACAUCGGGACUGAGACACUGCCCGGACACCUACGGGUGGCUGCAGCAACGAAUAUUCCGCAAUGGGCGAAAGCCUGACGGAGCGACGCCGCGUGCAGGAAGACGUCCCUCGGGAUGUAAACUGCUGUCAGGGGCAAGGAAGAUCUGACCAGCCCCAGAGGAAGCCUCGACUAACUCCGUGCCAGCAGUCGCGGUAAAACGGAGGAGGCGGGCGUUGUUCGGAAUCACUGGGCUUAAAGCGCGUGUAGGCGGAUCGGAAAGUGUUUUGUGAAAGCCCCCGGCUCAACCGGGGAAUUGCUGGGCAAACUACCGAU